UACGAAGGGGGCUAGCGUUGUUCGGAUUUACUGGGCGUAAAGCGCACGUAGGCGGUUUCUUAAGUCGGUGGUGAAAUCCUGGAGCUCAACUCCAGAACUGCCUUUGAUACUGAGGAUCUUGAGUUCGGGAGAGGUGAGUGGAACUGCGAGUGUAGAGGUGAAAUUCGUAGAUAUUCGCAAGAACACCAGUGGCGAAGGCGGCUCACUGGCCCGAUACUGACGCUGAGGCACGAAAGCGUGGGGAGCAAACAGGG
rnacentral:rRNA from 1 species